UCAGGAUGAACGCUAGCUACAGGCUUAACACAUGCAAGUCGUUGGGCAUCAGGAAGAAAGCUUGCUUUCUUUGCUGGCGACCGGCGCACGGGUGAGUAACACGUAUCCAACCUGCCCUUUACUCGGGGAUAGCCUUUCGAAAGAAAGAUUAAUACCCGAUAGCAUAAUGAUUCCGCAUGGUUUCAUUAUUAAAGGAUUCCGGUAAAGGAUGGGGAUGCGUUCCAUUAGGUUGUUGGUGAGGUAACGGCCCACCAAGCCUUCGAUGGAUAGGGGUUCUGAGAGGAAGGUCCCCCACAUUGGAACUGAGACACGGUCCAAACUCCUACGGGAGGCAGCAGUGAGGAAUAUUGGUCAAUGGGCGCUAGCCUGAACCAGCCAAGUAGCGUGAAGGAUGAAGGCUCUAUGGGUCGUAAACUUCUUUUAUAUAAGAAUAAAGUGCAGUAUGUAUACUGUUUUGUAUGUAUUAUAUGAAUAAGGAUCGGCUAACUCCGUGCCAGCAGCCGCGGUAAUACGGAGGAUCCGAGCGUUAUCCGGAUUUAUUGGGUUUAAAGGGAGCGUAGGUGGACUGGUAAGUCAGUUGUGAAAGUUUGCGGCUCAACCGUAAAAUUGCAGUUGAUACUGUCAGUCUUGAGUACAGUAGAGGUGGGCGGAAUUCGUGGUGUAGCGGUGAAAUGCUUAGAUAUCACGAAGAGCUCCGAUUGCGAAGGCAGCUCACUGGACUGCAACUGACACUGAUGCUCGAAAGUGUGGGUAUCAAACAGGAUUAGAUACCCUGGUAGUCCACACAGUAAACGAUGAAUACUCGCUGUUUGCGAUAUACAGUAAGCGGCCAAGCGAAAGCAUUAAGUAUUCCACCUGGGGAGUACGCCGGCAACGGUGAAACUCAAAGGAAUUGACGGGGGCCCGCACAAGCGGAGGAACAUGUGGUUUAAUUCGAUGAUACGCGAGGAACCUUACCCGGGCUUAAAUUGCAGUGGAAUGAUGUGGAAACAUGUCAGUGAGCAAUCACCGCUGUGAAGGUGCUGCAUGGUUGUCGUCAGCUCGUGCCGUGAGGUGUCGGCUUAAGUGCCAUAACGAGCGCAACCCUUAUCUUUAGUUACUAACAGGUUAUGCUGAGGACUCUAGAGAGACUGCCGUCGUAAGAUGUGAGGAAGGUGGGGAUGACGUCAAAUCAGCACGGCCCUUACGUCCGGGGCUACACACGUGUUACAAUGGGGGGUACAGAAGGCAGCUAGCGGGUGACCGUAUGCUAAUCCCAAAAUCCUCUCUCAGUUCGGAUCGAAGUCUGCAACCCGACUUCGUGAAGCUGGAUUCGCUAGUAAUCGCGCAUCAGCCACGGCGCGGUGAAUACGUUCCCGGGCCUUGUACACACCGCCCGUCAAGCCAUGGGAGCCGGGGGUACCUGAAGUACGUAACCGCAAGGAUCGUCCUAGGGUAAAAC
rnacentral:rRNA from 1 species